rnacentral:rRNA from 1 species
GGAAUCUUCGGCAAUGGGCGAAAGCCUGACCGAGCAACGCCGCGUGAGCGAUGAAGGCCUUCGGGUCGUAAAGCUCUGUUGUUAGAGAAGAACAAGUACGAGAGUAACUGCUCGUACCUUGACGGUACCUAACCAGAAAGCCACGGCUAACUACGUGCCAGCAGCCGCGGUAAUACGUAGGUGGCAAGCGUUAUCCGGAAUUAUUGGGCGUAAAGCGCGCGCAGGCGGUCUCUUAAGUCUGAUGUGAAAGCCCACGGCUCAACCGUGGAGGGUCAUUGGAAACUGGGAGACUUGAGUGCAGGAGAGAAAAGUGGAAUUCCACGUGUAGCGGUGAAAUGCGUAGAGAUGUGGAGGAACACCAGUGGCGAAGGCGGCUUUUUGGCCUGUAACUGACGCUGAGGCGCGAAAGCGUGGGGAGCAAACA